rnacentral:rRNA from 1 species
UACAGAGGUCUCAAGCGUUGUUCGGAUUCAUUGGGCGUAAAGGGUGCGUAGGUGGCGCCGUAAGUCAGGUGUGAAAUUUCGGAGCUUAACUCCGAAACUGCAUUUGAUACUGCCUUGCUUGAGGACUGGAGAGGAGACUGGAAUUCACGGUGUAGCAGUGAAAUGCGUAGAGAUCGUGAGGAAGACCAGUGGCGAAGGCGGGUCUCUGGACAGUUCCUGACACUGAGGCACGAAGGCCAGGGGAGCAAACGGG